rnacentral:rRNA from 1 species
AGUGAACGCUGGCGGCAGGCCUAACACAUGCAAGUCGAACGGCAGCACAGGAGAGCUUGCUCUCUGGGUGGCGAGUGGCGGACGGGUGAGGAAUAUAUCGGAAUCUACCCUUUCGUGGGGGAUAACGUAGGGAAACUUACGCUAAUACCGCAUACGAACUGAGGUUGAAAGCGGCGGACCGCAAGGCGUCGCGCGGAUGGAUGAGCCGAUAUCCGAUUAGCUAGUUGGCGGGGUAAAGGCCCACCAAGGCGACGAUCGGUAGCUGGUCUGAGAAGAUGAUCAGCCACACUGGAACUGAGACACGGUCCAGACUCCUACGGGAGGCAGCAGUGGGGAAUAUUGGACAAUGGGCGCAAGCCUGAUCCAGCCAUGCCGCGUGUGUGAAGAAGGCCUUCGGGUUGUAAAGCACUUUUGUUGGGAAAGAAAAGCGGUCGGUUAAUACCCGGUCGUUCUGACGGUACCCAAAGAAUAAGCACCGGCUAACUUCGUGCCAGCCGCCGCUGUAAAAC